GUAGUCUCGCACAGAUGCAUAUCAAUAAGCGGAGGAAAAGAAACUAACAAGGAUUCCCCUAGUAACGGCGAGUGAAGCGGGAAGAGCUCAAAUUUGAAAUCUUAAAGGGUUUCCCUUUACGAAUUGUAGUUUAAAGAAGUGUUUUCUGUUGAGGUUUUGGUAAAAGUUCUUUGGAAUAGGACAUCAUAGAGGGUGAGAAUCCCGUAUUUGACCUUUACUUUCAACUUUGUGAUACACUUUCAAAGAGUCGGAUUGUUUGGGAAUGCAGUCCAAAAUGGGUGGUAAAUUUCAUCUAAAGCUAAAUAUUGGCGAGAGACCGAUAGCGAACAAGUACCGUGAGGGAAAGAUGAAAAGAACUUUGGAAAGAGAGUUAAACAGUACGUGAAAUUGUCAAAAGGGAAGCGUUUGACACCAGUGUUGUUUUUCUGAAAAUCAAUUAAAGAACUGUUUAUGCUAAGUUGUUUAGACUUUAUCAGCUAUACUGUUUAGUUUUGAGCUUUUCUUUAAUGCACUUUUCAGUUAACAAGUCAACAUCAAUUUCUUUUGCUGUAAAAAAGCUUGAGGAAGGUGGCUUGAGAUUCGUCUUAAGUGUUUAUAGCCUCUUGCCUAUGCAGUCGGAGAGAUUGAGGUCUGCAGCGUAGAUCCUUCGGGGCUAAAUGCAUUUGUGCUAAGUUAUAGCAUUUUAUAGACAACUUGUUGACUAUGAUUUGUCUUGUAGCUUACUCGCUUAUGUUAUUUUACCUACGCUUAGGAUGUUGAGUAGCGACAUACGCAC
rnacentral:rRNA from 1 species